UGCAUCGGCCGGGAAUCGAACCUGGGUGCCCGCGUGGCAGGCGAGCAUUCUACCACUGAACCACCGAUGC
rnacentral:tRNA from 1 species